rnacentral:lncRNA from 1 species
GGGAGUGCAGUGCCGCCUUGGGUCACAACAUCCUGGAGCCUGUAGUAAACCUGGCCAGGUCACUCAGGAUGCAAGAAGAAGGCCUGAAGGACUCGCUGGUGAAGGUGGCCCCCAAGAGGCCGCCCAAGAGAUUCGGCUGUUGCUCCUGAUCACCUGUCCUGUCCUGGGUAGGAUGGACACCCAUGGGGUUUCCUGUCCCUCAGCUCCUGUCCUUUGUUCCUGGACAGCAACGACACAGAGGACCAGCUUGGAGGUUCAGGAAAACCCUUCUCAACUCAGGACUCGGAUCCCAGAGCAGGGCCGCAUCACCUCUGCCUUUCACACUCCAAAGGAGGGCUUUGCUGAGUGAACAAGGCUUGAGGGGCAGGGGUAUGGCAAAACUCUCCAAACAAAGAAAGUCUAGAAAAACGACUUAAGGAAAAUACACCAAAAUAUUGGCCGCACAUCUGUGGGUGUAAAAUUUUAGGGAGAAUGUGGGGGGGGGGUGUUACUUUCCAUUUUACACAUAUUUGUAUUUUCAGAUUUUCAACAAUAACAGUAUUCAAUACAUAAUCAGAAAAAAGAGAUGUGGAGGAGGAGGAGAGAAACUUCCCAAGGAGCUCCCUUGGGUGCUGCUGGCUCCUAAUUAGUGUAACCUGUUAAUCACAUGUUGCUCGGUGUUAGAGCGGUCCCUCUGUGCUCUGCUUGGCAGGGCGCUGUUGGCCUGGUCUCCCUCGCUAUUUCUAUUUGCAAGCAUGGGCUUUCUUCCCAGCAGAAUCUGGUUCCUGGGAAGAGUAAUGUUCCAAAGGCCUCUGAUAUGCCUCGAUGCCCUCCUGUCUUCCAGAGCCCCAACCUCACUCCCUUUCCCCACCAUACAAAACACACCUCCCAGGGGUCACAUUUGGGGGUCCCGCCCCCUGCUCCAAUGCCAUGGUGUCCCCAAGCACAGGGCUUUGGCCUGAGUUGUCAGUCUCUGGAUGCAUUUGAGGGGCAGCUAGGGUGUGGCUGGGGGGUCCAAGCAGCUGGGGAGCCGAGACUCAGAAUCAUUCACACACUUCUAUUUGGAGCUUUUGUGGAAGUUUCCAGAAUUCCAUAAUAUUCACCUCCUGAAUGGUGGCUGCCCCUUAUCAGCUAGGGCUGGGGUUUCCAGUGCCCUCGGAGAGCUUGCUUUAGAGUCUUGGAGAGACGGCCAUGGUCUUCGUUUGUAUGUCUGUCACAUCUUACCAUCAUCACAAAUUGAAUAUACAACAUGUGCCAGGC